AUCCAUGGUGAAGUGUUUGUUUCCAACAGCCUUAAGAUGCUGAUCGCUCCUCUUCGCUGUUGUGGGCGUGGCUUCCAAAGCAGCCCGUUCUCCGAUUGGUCAAACAAAAGCCUGCUGUUCUGCUAUUGGUCCGUACUUGAGAGGACGUCGCGUACGUAUAAAAACGAAACUGUUUUCAUACGGCUCUGCACGUCCGUGCAUAAGAUUCUCGGAGCCAAUGGCUCCUGUUACACAAACAUGGCGGCCGGACCGAGCCAGUUUUCAUCGCUGUUGUCUAUGAAAACAAGUGAAAACAUAGGAGGGUAGCAGCAGCAGCACAACACCACCGUCACAUGAUUCGUAAAGCCAGGCUGCCCUUUUCUAAUAUGGUGGUCAGCUUGGCGGAGCUGCGUCUCCCAUUGAUCGUAUCACUCCUAUGCGGGUUCGCAACCUGCAGCCAGGAAGAACCGCAGGUUUUCGGGCUGCGCCUGGAGGACGCCAGCGAGCGGGUGUACAUGCGCGAACGGGUCGUCGUAGCUCCGCAAGGGUCCACUUUCAAGCUCAGAUUGUUUGGGACCUACCUGGCCAAAGAGAGCUGGCCGUGGGUCGCGUUCGCCCCCGCUGGAGGCGGUUCGGAUGACCCGUGCGCGCAGGAGGACCUCCGCAGGUCCGCUGCGUUCAGGGUGCUUGGAGAGUUCGGAUCGGACGAGGAGAAUAGCGGGCUCAUAGAGGUCCGAACCGAGAAUGCAUCAUCCAAAUCGGAGAAUAAGAAAGCAGAGCCUGUAUUCCAUCAUGUGUGUGUCUUAAAGGGCCAGGCAUGGAUGACGUUUGGGUUGGACAAGUUGCUUAUAAAGGACCCGGAUGCGCCAUCCGAUUACAUUCCACUUUGGGGGCUGGUUUUGGUUGUUGUGGUGCUGGUUUUCAUUUGCAGUGUGGUCAGAUGCUUGAAUCUGAGUUUGCUGUGGAUGGAUCCAUUGGAGCUGUAUGUUCUGCACAGCUGUGGUUCCGAAGACGAAAAGCGGUCAGCCAAGCGCCUUAAGCCAAUUAGGAGGCGAGGAAAUGUUCUGGUUUGCUCCCUGUUGUUCAUUUUUGCAUUGGGUCAUUCGGUGCUUGGUGUGCUGUUGUACCGCCUAUAUGGGUCCAUCUUACCUGCGGUGUUCACUAGUGGCUGCCUAAUAUUUGUUCUUGCAGAGUUGGUACCCCAUAUAAUAUGUUCUGGCUAUGGUUUCCAAAUGGCACCAGGUUUGAUAUGGCUGGCCCAGAUCUGUCUCAUUUUGACGUGUCCGCUCUCUUGUCCUCUUGGGCUCAUUUUGGACCUGGUCCUGCGCCGUGAUGUGAGCACCUGUGGCAUCCGUGAAAAAACCAUGGAAAUGAUUCGGACUAGUGUGAACGAUCCAUAUAACGAAUUUGUCAAGGUGGAGUUCAGCAAGGGUGCUCUCAGGACCAAAACUGUGGAGGAUAUCUUGACACCCUUGAAAGAUUGUUUCAUGCUGUCCUCCACGGCCGUGCUGGACUUCAGCACUAUGUCAGAGGUCAUGCAGAGCGGAUAUACUCGGGUCCCUGUGUAUGAAGAGGAAAGGUCCAAUAUUGUAGAGAUCCUGUAUGUGAAAGACCUGGCGUUGGUUGAUCCGGAAGAUCGCACCCCCAUGACCACCAUCACAAAGUUUUACAAUCAUCCACUGCAUUUUGUUUUUAAUGACACCAAGCUGGAUGCAAUGCUGGAGGAAUUCAAAAAAGGAAACUCCCACCUGGCCAUCGUUCAGAAGGUGAAUAAUGAAGGAGAAGGAGAUCCGUUCUAUGAGGUUCUCGGACUGGUCACGCUGGAGGACGUUAUUGAGGAGAUCAUUAAAUCUGAGAUCCUGGACGAGUCUGAUGGUUACAUGGACAUGAAGGUGAAACGUCCAAUAGCACCGCUGGAGAUUCCCCUGGAGCCCCGCAGCGUGCAUGAGGAGUUCUCUAUAUUUAAACCGCCAGAGGGCGAGCCGAAGAUACGCACCUCUCCUCAACUGCUGCUGGCCACCCACCGCUUCCUGUCCAGAGAGGUGGAACAUUUCUGCCCACAGCGUGUUUCGGAGAGAGUUUUAUUUCAUCUGCUGCGGCACCCGAGUGUCAACCAAGAAGUGAAGUUUGACUCCGGAAACCGACUUAGUCCAGAUCACUACCUCUACACACGGAAUCACCCUGUGGACUAUUUCAUUCUGCUGCUGCAGGGUCGUGUGGAGGUGGAGAUCGGGAAAGAGGGUUUAAAGUUUGAUAAUGGCGCUUUCACCUACUACGGCGUCUCGGCACUCACAGCUCCCUCCUCAGUCCACCAGUCUCCGGUCUCAACACAGCGUCAGUCCCCCAGAGACCCCUUUAUGCUGGCUGAUGCCACCAGCCCGUCCAGCUACUGUCCCGACUACACAGUUCGAGCCCUCACGGACCUGCAGUUUAUCAAGGUGACCCGUUUGCAGUACCUCAACGCUUUGAUGGCCUCCCGGGUGGCACAGAGUCCCGAGCCCCCUGAAAUAAAGAUCCUGCCCAACAGUCAAACAAAACUCCUGAAUGAAAAAAACACUAUGCAAGAGUUUCAGCUUCACUUUUCAUUCUUUGACGCAAUUGACAACUACUGUUAGUGUUCUUUGCAUGAGUAGGUGGUGAUAUGCACGAAGAAUUCGAAAUCGAAGAAUCUGCAAAAAUCAUAUCACUUCAGAAGAUAUGAAUUUAACCACUGGAGUCGUAUGGAUUACUUUUAUGCUGCUUUUAUGUGCGUUUUGGUCAAAGUUCACUUGCAUUGUUUGGACCGACAGAGCUGAAAAUGUUCAGCAGGAGAAAGAAAGUCAUACACAUCUGGGAUGGCAUGAGGGUGCGAGCAAGAGCCAGGAAUCUAGGUCAGAGGAGGAGCCGCACAGCCAGAGAGGAGCUUUUUGACCUUCGAGCUAACCUUACUCCAGAACUCAUGAGGAUUUUAUGAUGACAACUAACUUGUUUUUUGUCUUAAAGGGAUAGUUCAACCAAAAAAAUAAAAAACUCUAGCAUUUACGCACCUUCAUGUUGUUCCAAAUCUUGCAUGGAACACACACGAAAAAAGGACAUUUUAGGCAAUUUACUUCACUGUAUGGAAAAAAGAUACAAUGAAAGUGAAUGGUGACUGAGACUAACAUUCUGCCUAACAUCUCCCUUUGUGUUGCACUUAUUUGCAGGAAACUGAUUUUGAUGUGGAAAGUUGGAAUUUUUCACUUUACAGACUUGGUCUCGCAGUGUUAUUACAUAUGUUUUAGAUGCAGGGACAUGCUCCCCUCAUAUUUAAUAAAUGUCUACUUUGGUCCCAUAGAUAAUCAUGCUUUUUUUAAAGACCCAUGCCUUAAUGUUUUGUACCUACGCCCCCUUGGGGAAGUUUCAAAACAUCCUAAAAGCAUAAUUUUGAAGGUGACAUAAAAAAGUAGCCAUGCUUAUUGCUGGAACCUGGUCUCAUAAAAUCACGGUACUAUGCCUAUAUCUUGCCAUAUGUAUUUUUACGUGGCUCGUUGUAAAAUGAACACUAGAGGAACUUAAACAACCGCUUUUGUUCACUUUCACAAAAAUCAGGAGUAUAACAGCAUGUGGCUUAGCUUAUAUCACAUUGCACUUGUGAUGCAAAGGAUUGGGAUACAAGUCCGGAAGAGCAUGCGAGUCGGCACGUGAGCUGAAAGUGUCAUAGAAGCACCAAAAAAUGACUCGGUUGCUUCAGAAAUUGUGUUUUUCAUCUCACUGUUGCUUUUAUGACACUAUCGGUAAGGUUUAGGUUUCAGGUUUAGGGUAGGGAGCUCGGUUUUGUUGGCUUAAAACUCCAUAGAGCAUUAACCUUAACAUUUAACAAACUUUUAGCGCCACACAGUGGAUAUUUCAUAUUUAGGAAUGCCACGAUACGUAACGUAAUUUUGCAAAAAAGUCGCCACAGUUGCACAAUUUGGAUUUCCGAGUGCAAUCCAAAACCCGUCCAGUUUUGCGAGACAUAUGCGAGGGCAUUGACGUUUGCACAUUGAUAUGUUCAGUACGAUUAAGUCUACGAUCUUGUUAUUCUCUAUAUCAUGUGGUACGUCCGAAACAACCAUGCCUCCUUGUUAGAAUAUUCACAGCAUGCCUGCAUUUUGAUUCACUAUUUGAGAAACAUUUCAAUAUUUGGUGCCUAAAUCUGCAUGACUGUCGCUAUCUAGCUAACCAUAUAAGCGUAAAAUAUCGCAAACCUUUUCCAUACCAACGCAGACAGCCCAUUCCAUUGAUAUAGUCUGGAAAAUACAUCUUAGCAAUACUGAAAAUCCCAGUAUUGAAGGUUGUGUCAUAUUUAUAAGAUGGCAUAUAUGGGUAAUAAAGCCUAGAAGCUACUCUACUCAAGUUUAAACAUUCUUAGUAGCUUUUUUGAGUUUUUAAAGUACAUUCCAGCCUACUUUGUAUCUGAACAAGAAAUUAAAGCCUUCCUUUUUUCUGUUAUAUUGAUGCCUGAUUCAGAGAGUCCUGUAACGUUUUUAUUUUUAAAGGAAUAUUUCGGAUUUAAUAUAAGUUUAGCACAACUGACAGCAUUUGUGGCAUAAUGUUGAUUUCCACAAAAUUAAUUGAAUUCAUCUAGACUUUUCCCUCCGUUCCAUUAAAAAAAAAUUAAAGAUCUGGGUCACAGUGAAGCACUUACAAUUGCAGUGAAUGGGGCCAAUCCAUAAUCGUUAAAAUACGCACCGUUUCAAAAGUAUAGCCACAACACAUAAACAACAUGCAAGCUAACAUGAUUUUAGUGUGAUAAAAUCGCUAACUAACCUUUUCUGUGUAAAUUCAUAUUUAUCUUUACAUCGUCGUUGCCAUUACGACAUAGCUGCGUAAACACUAAAAAGACUAAAACGAUGAUUUAAACAGAUUUACAGCUCAAAUAUUACCCGAGUUUAAACAGAAAAAUUAAAGUAAGUGCUUUUAUCAAAUUUGAAGCUUCACAUUUCUGCCUUUAAACCUUCCAAAACUGGCCCCAUUCACUUCCAUUGUAAGUGCCUCACUGUAACCUCGAUUUUUGCUUUUUUUUUUUUUUAAAGAAAAGGAGGAACGAGUCAAAAUAAUUUUUCACGAUAAAUCAACAUUAUGCCACAAAUUCAGUCGAGUGGGCUUAACAUGUAUUGAACCCAGAAUAUUCUUUAAAGCAGUUGCAUGCAUUUGUGCUUAUAACCCAUCAGCUAACGUUAACGAUUAUCUAAAAAUGACCAUUUACUGCAAGAACAGUGUGUGAACCCAAGUAAAUAUUUUUUUCUGCUGUUGAAAUAAGUUGUACUGUUUGUUUUGUUGUAAAAGUCAUUUUCUAUGGUACUAAAUGAAUGAAUGUUUAUUAUUUUUUUUAAACAAAUCCCUUCUUUAUUUUACUGUAUUUAUAAUUUUUGGAUAGGUUAGAGAUGACUGUAAAUUAAUAUACAAUUUCUAAAUCAUAGAUGUUGUAAAUUCAGAACAGUUGCUGGCAGAUAUCAGUUCUUCAGGUACAAACGUAUACGUGACCAGGGAUUAAUAUAGACUUUACUUCUGAUCAGCCAUUUUUGGUAGGUAAGAUUUAAAUCUUCUCUGUAUUGUUCACAAGCCAUUGAAUGCACUUGAUAUCAACUGUUUCAUAGGAAAUAAAGACAA